AGAGUUUGAUCAGUGGCUCAGGAAUAAACGCUGGCGGGCGUGCCUAACACAUGCAAGUCGAACGAUCCCGCAAGGGAGAGUGGCGGAAGGGUGAGUAACACGUGGGAAUCUACCUCCUCGCAGGGAACAACCUCUCGAAAGAGAGGCUAAUACCCAAAAGGGUCAGAAAUGAUCAGAGUCGAAAGGCGUGAGGAGAGGAGCCCGCGGCCCAUCAGCUAGUUGGUGAGGUAAUGGCUUACCAAGGCUACGACGGGUAGGGGAUCUGAGAGGAUGUCCCCCACACUGGAACUGAAACACGGUCCAGACGCCUACGGGUGGCAGCAGUGAGGAAUAUUGGACAAUGGGCGAAAGCCCGAUCCAGCAACGCCGCGUGGAGGAUGAAGGCCUUCGGGUCGUAAACUUCUUUAGAGGGAGACGAGAAAGGACGGUAUCCCUAGAAUAAGCGACGGCAAACUACGUG
rnacentral:rRNA from 1 species